rnacentral:rRNA from 1 species
CCCUUAGACGUUCUGGGCCGCACGCGCGCUACACUGACCAGUGCAACAAGCAUCCGUCCUUGGCCGACAGGCUCGGGCAAUCUUUGAACGCUGGUCGUGAUGGGGAUAGACUUUUGCAAUUUUUGAUCUUCAACGAGGAAUUCCUAGUAAACGCAAGUCAUCAACUUGCAUUGAUUACGUCCCUGCCCUUUGUACACACCGCCCGUCGCACCUACCGAUUGAAUGGUCCGGUGAAGCCUCCGGAUUGGCGCGCACCUCGGUGCCGCCGAGAAGUUGGCUAAACCUUACCAUUUAGAGGAAGGUGAAGUCGUAACA